rnacentral:rRNA from 1 species
UACGUAGGGGGCUAGCGUUAUCCGGAAUUACUGGGCGUAAAGGGUGCGUAGGUGGUUUCUUAAGUCAGAGGUGAAAGGCUACGGCUCAACCGUAGUAAGCCUUUGAAACUGGGAAACUUGAGUGCAGGAGAGGAGAGUGGAAUUCCUAGUGUAGCGGUGAAAUGCGUAGAUAUUAGGAGGAACACCAGUUGCGAAGGCGGCUCUCUGGACUGUAACUGACACUGAGGCACGAAAGCGUGGGGAGCAAACAGGAUUAGAUACCCUGGUAGUCCACGCUGUAAACGAUGAGUACUAGCUGUCGGAGGUUACCCCCUUCGGUGGCGCAGCUAACGCAUUAAGUGAUUCGCCUGGGGAGUACGAUCGCAAGGUUGAA